AUUGAACGCUGGCGGCAGGCUUAACACAUGCAAGUCGAACGAGUGGCGGACGGGUGAGUAAUGCUUGGGAAUCUAGCUUAUGGAGGGGGAUAACUACGGGAAACUGUAGCUAAUACCGCGUACCAUAGGAUGAGCCCAAGUGGGAUUAGGUAGUUGGUGAGGUAAAGGCUCACCAAGCCGACGAUCCCUAGCUGGUCUGAGAGGAUGACCGGCCACACUGGGACUGAGACACGGCCCAGACUCCUACGGGAGGCAGCAGUGGGGAAUAUUGGGCAAUGGGCGCAAGCUGACGGAGCCAUGCCGCGUGAGUGAAGAAGGCCUUCGGGUUGUAAAGUUCUGUCGGUAGCGAAGCGUUAUCUACAGAAGAAGCACCGGCUAACUCCGUGCCAGCAGCCGCGGUAAUAC
rnacentral:rRNA from 1 species